UCCUCUCACCUACUUGAAAAAUACGUGUUUUUUAUUUCGGCCCGCACGUUUCUUUUUACUGUCUGUAGAUGAUAUUUACAUGGAUAUAGACUUUAUUAAGUAGUGAUGCCGGCGUUUUUCGGCGACGUCUUCUUUAUCUGGUAUCUUUAUUUCACGUAAAUCCAGGUCUGAUCGUGACGAAUCUGCAGACGAAACAUCUGGAGACGGAAACUAUCGCCAGUUAACCUGAUCACCAGUCAAACUGGAACACCGGCUCACUGUGCUGCAUACAGUUACACACUACGUCGUACGAUUGAGACAAGGAAACUUGGAAUGACUUUUCAUAGGUAAGAAUAGUUUUUGGCUCUUUUUUCAUUAUUAAAUCUUGUUGAGAGCUUCCAGUCUAUGAGAGCUAACUAGUUAGCCACUAGCAAAACGCUAAGGCGAGCAAGCAGCUUGACAACCAAAUACCAGACGAUUAAUAGUAGCUGUAGUAUAGUUGUACAAGCAGUAGUAGUAAUACUAAAAGUACAAGCAGCAGUAGUAGUAUAAACAGCUGUUAGAGUCGUAGAAGUAGUAUCAGCAUUUGUAAUAGUAUUCCAAGUUGUAGUAGCAGUGCCAGUAUCAGCAGCAUUUAAUGUACUACUAGUAGUAGUCAUAUUGCUAUUACUACCACCAAUACUACCAAUAGUAGUUAUAAAGCCUAAAUCAUGUAUAUCCAGAUUACCAUCUAUGUUCUUCCUCCAAACCCAUUUUAUGAUUGGGAUUACAGGUAGUUCUUUAGGACUGUUCUCAAAUAAUUGAAAUGUUACUAAACAAGGUUAUACUUAUCAAAUUAAAUAGCUCUGGUCUCCAGUAUAUUGGCUAAUUCGGUUCUUUGUACUUAAUUUAUUAGCAUGAUUUCUUUUUAAUAUGUUGUGUAGAGACUUAUUUACUUGUCUGUCUACUUUUCUUACUCCAUGUAGGUUUCCCAGAGACUAUGGCUUGAGGAGGAAUUGGAAGUUUGUCGGCUUAGACCUGGUGUCAUUCCAUCAGUGUUAAACUUCCCGGCUCAUCUUGGAAGAGUACGUGCCAGAAAGACCACGACCAAGCAGCCUUGAGAUCUUAGACAGCGUCUCCCUGAGGUCCCUCUCUAUCUCCCCACACAUCCACCAACCACUGGAACACAUCUCCAAAGUUCUGCUGGACCAGCUCAGCUUCCCCUCAGAAGAAGUGCUGCCACCUGCCAGAUGAAGGAGCCUUUUGAGAGGCAGCUGGCAUCGUGAUUGGACUGUACUUUGGUCUGUUCCAAUCCAGCUUCAGCUCCAGAGACGGCAGGUGGGACGAGUCAACGGAGGCCGGAUGGACGAAGACAUGCAGCUGAGUACAAUCCAGAAAGCAACAGAGGAGGAGUGCAGCAGCCCAGAGCCAGAACAACCAGAGUAGCAUCGUAUGUCUCUUAGAAAACAUCAUAGUACAGCCUUUGCUAUGAAAAAACACCAUCAUACACAUCGUAUAUUGUACAAAUAACAAGUCAAAGCAAAGAGACAUACAUUGUAGAAUUGUAGUAAUUGUGGGCUGACUGAUUUACUGAUUAGCAGUAUUUUAUUUUUUACUGAUAUACGGUGAUAAAUACAUUUAAAAAUGCCGCUACUUUGGCUCUGAACCUUUAUCUACCUGUGGUCGCUCUGUCUUCUGGAGUGAUUUGAUUGGUUAUACGUCACGAAUAAAACUCCUUUAACUUAACAUCUGUAAACAAAACAAAAACGUAUCAACAAAGUUUUCUGUUAGAGUUUGUGUUCUAAGUUUAACUCAAGAUUUUAAAUACUUUCAUUUACUGCAAAUGAAUAUCUACUCCAAAUGUCUCACUAAUAAUCAUUAUCAGCCUUAAAAACCCACAAAACACCCCUCUAUACUCGACCAAACUUAGUACAGUCUGGUUCCCCCUUCUAUAAAUCUGCUUGGAAUCGUCCACUUCCUGUUUGUCAAAGUGGCCUUCUACCUGGACAGGUUUUGUUGGAGCUCAUGCAACAAACAUUUUGGGUAACUGCACUUUAAUAUGGAUGGAUGACACUGAAUUAGAGUCUGUUUUAAUGAGACUGAGUUAAGAUGUGUAGCUCUGUCAUUAAAUAGUAAAUUAUUUCUCAGAAUUCACAGAGAAAUGUCUGAAAUGUUUGCUAGGUUAGCGUCCCACAUGUUCUUUGGCUCAGCUAAAGCUAACUCUCUCCAACUUGUGGAUCUCUUGAGUUGCUUGUUGUUAAAAUAUCUUGCUAGAGGUGCUGAAGCUCACAAAGUCUGAGAUGUUUGUUCAAAAUAAGCUCAUUCUCAAGUCUCUGAACUGUUCUCUUUUGUUUGAACUUUCCCUAAACUUAGGAGUUAAUGACAGAGCAGCACAUCCAGACUCAGUCUCAUUUAUGUAGAGAUUAAACUUCAGUGUCAUUCAUUGAUGUUAAAGUGCAGUUUUUCAAAUGUUUGUUGCACAUGCUCCCGACCAAACCAGUCCAGGUGGAAGACGAUGUGAAGAGAAAGCUCCAGAGGAUGAAUAUCACACAUUUAUGUUGGAAAUUAAUGUCCUUUAAUAAGACAUUGUCAUGCAAAAGUUGGAUUUCCCUUUAAUGAUGUUAAAAUCUUUGUUGAGUGUUUUGUUGAUGUUGGUUUCUAAAUGUUUUCUGACACUCGGCCCCAAAGAUUAAAACCUUCUAUGGCUCACAAGCUGCAACAAUUCACACAUUAUCAACUAUCUUUCUGACUAAACUAAGAUAAAAAGUGAAAAACUGCCUGAUUCCUGCAUCAUGAAUGUAAAUCUUUUUGGUUUUUAUGACAGUAAACUGAUUUGGGCUUGCCAUUUUAUAAACCAAAACAAGAAAUGAAUUACUGGAGAAAACGAUAGAUUAAUGGACAAAGAAAAUGUUUUUUCCAACAUAUAUGGCUGAAUUACUCCAACAUUACAAGAUACAUACAAUUUUAAUUCAAUUUUAUUUCUGUAACGCCAAAUACAGGUCAAAUUGUCUCAAGACGCUUUAUUUUCAUACUUUUUUGUCAUAUUUAAAAUAUGACAAAGUAAGAAAUUUAAACCUCUUGACUAAUCCAAUUUAUUAUUUAGUUUUUAAGAGAUUAAUCGACACCUAAAAUAACUUUCUCCACUAAAACUAAUAAACAUGAGGUCAAAUAGAAGGAACAGUUUUAAAUACUGCAGUCCCACAACGACAAGAAUAAAGUUUGUCAACAAAAACUAAAUCUGCUGGUGGAUUCCAUUAAAGUCCUAAGAAAUGAUAAUAAAGUGUGAUACUAAA